rnacentral:lncRNA from 1 species
AGAGUGGAACUGGGUCAGAACGGAAUCCAAGAGAAGGUAUUCAGGAACACAUAGGGGCUGCAGAGACUGGCUGCGGUUGGAGGCAUCUUAGACACGACCCGGGGCUCAAGUAGGGCUAACCAGAGGUCCAUGUUGUGAACAAGACUUACUGGAGGUAGUACAGUUGAUCAGCUAUCUAGGUAGUUUCAGUGGAUGGGACUAAAUUAUUUAAGAUCGAAUGAAUGUAGCUUUAUUAAAAAGAAUAAUAAAGAAAGGAAUACCACAUGGCUAGAAUCAAAGCUGCCGGAAGGAAGAGAGUGAGUUCAGGUUAACAAAUUACAGUGGUCCCUAAGUCCUAUAAUGGGACUGGCCUCUGUUGUUCUCUUCUGUUUACCCAUGUCUGUCUGUCUAGUUAUCUUCCUUUUUUGAGACAGGUUUUCACUAUAAAUCCCAGACUAGCUUCAAACUUGCAAUCCUCCUGUCCUACCUCAGCCUCCUAGGUACUGGGAUGAAUGGCAUGUAUCCACCAUGCCAGGGUACUCACCCAUCUUAACACCCUACCAGGUACAAUCCCGAGAACUUGGCUACCUUGGAGCGGUAUGUGGAGACACAGGCCAAGGAGAAUGCCUAUGAUCUAGAAGCCAACCUGGCCGUCCUGAAACUGUACCAGUUCAACCCAGCCUUCUUCCAGACCACAGUCACUGCCCAGAU